GAGUGAGGAGGAAGGCUAAUGGAAGGCAACAGAAAACAAGUUGAAGGAAAUGGCAUUAGGAUUUGCUUAUGAAUUUGAUCAGGAAGGAAAGAGAAGGAUGGUGUAUAUCUUUCCUUCCUCAUUAGCAUUCCACUGGGAGCCGAGGACCAGCUAACCAAUUUGUAGGAGCCAGUGAGAAAUGAAAGUGUGGGACACAAAAGUGUGGGACCCUUUGUUCAAGAAAUAUUGGGCACUUCAAAACAAGGAGAACAGAGGUGGAGUCCCUUCUGAGUGUGGGGCCCUUUGGACGGUAGAGGUCAUAGGCCAUUGGAGCCAACACUGGGUGACCUGAACCCACACUGUUAGAACUCCAAGGCCUUGAUUUUCCUGAAAAAUGACAAGGUGGACAAGGGGAAAGCCAAACGCUUCAGCACCCUGUCCUCUGAGGGUGUCUGAGCACUCAGGUCGGUGGAGGUCCAGGAUGUUUUCAGAAGACAUAGUGGGUGGAGCCCAGCCAAGUGCUUCUGACCUCCUCUGUUCCACUCACUAGCCAGUAACAGACCAGAGUCUGGAUCUCAAUCUCUCUUAGACUCGAUUUCUGC
rnacentral:lncRNA from 1 species